CUGACACGCGCGGGAGAGACCUUGGACCGAUUCGUCGGGAAAGAGGCGCCGAAGGAGCAACCGCCCCGGAAUCUCUCAGGCAAAAGGACCGCGCAGCGUCU
rnacentral:ncRNA from 2 species